rnacentral:rRNA from 1 species
UACAGAGGUCCCAAGCGUUGUUCGGAAUCACUGGGCUUAAAGGGUGCGUAGGCGGCCAUGUAAGUGAGGUGUGAAAUCCCUCGGCUCAACCGAGGAACUGCGCUUCAUACUGCAUGGCUUGAGGGAGACAGGGGGUAAGCGGAACUGAUGGUGGAGCGGUGAAAUGCGUUGAUAUCAUCAGGAACACCGGUGGCGAAAGCGGCUUACUGGGUCUCUUCUGACGCUGAGGUACGAAAGCUAGGGUAGCGAACGGG